rnacentral:tRNA from 1 species
GCUCCUAAAGGAUAACAGCUCAUCCGUUGGUCUUAGGACCAAACUUCUCUUGGUGCAAGAUCAGUAGUAGCU